rnacentral:piRNA from 1 species
CUCAGUUACAGACCUUAAUUGGGACAAC